rnacentral:rRNA from 1 species
CCUACGGGCGGCAGCAGUGGGUAAUAUUGGACAAUGGGCGAAAGCCUGAUCCAGCCAUGCCGCGUGUGUGAAGAAGGCCUUCGGGUUGUAAAGCACUUUCAGUGGGGAAGAAAGCCUUGGGGCUAAUACCCUCGAGGAAGGACAUCACCCACAGAAGAAGCACCGGCUAACUCCGUGCCAGCAGCCGCGGUAAUACGGAGGGUGCGAGCGUUAAUCGGAAUUACUGGGCGUAAAGCGCGCGUAGGCGGUCUGAUAAGCCGGUUGUGAAAGCCCCGGGCUCAACCUGGGAACGGCAUUCGGAGCUGGGUGGCUAGCGUCUUGUAGAGGGGGGUAUAAUUCCCGGUGUGGCAGUGAAAUGCGUAGAGAACUGGAGGAAUGCCGGUGGCGCAGGAGGCCCCCUGGACCAAUAAUGCCGCUCAGGUGCCAAAGCGUGUGCAGCACACAGGAUUAGAUACCCUUGUAGUC